rnacentral:sRNA from 2 species
UGUAUCUGAAGCCUGACGAGGAUGAGAACCUCCGGGGGCAAGAGGUUCGACCCGAGCGAAGCGAGAGAACGUUGCGGCAGCAACGGCCCGCAGUGGCGAGUCACGCAGUGGCGAGUCAUCCUCUAUCACCGACCA